rnacentral:rRNA from 1 species
AUGGAUGAGCUGUCCAAGGAGCAGAUCGACGAGUUCCGGGCGGCCUUCAGCCUCUUCGACAAGGAUGGCGACGGGACGAUCACGGCCAAGGAGCUGGGCACGGUGAUGCGGUCGCUGGGGCAGCGCCCGUCGGAGGAGGAGCUGCGGGAGAUGAUCGCGGAGGUGGACACCGACGGCAACGGCGUCGUGGAUUUCUCCGAGUUCCUGACCCUCCUCGACCGCAAGAUGCACGGCGCCGGCGCCGAGGACGAGCUCCGCGAGGCCUUCCACGUCUUCGACCAGGACAAGGACGGCUUCAUCUCGCUCGACGAGUUCCGGCACGUCAUGGUCAAACUCGGCGAGCGCCUCUCCGACGAAGAGCUCAAGGAGAUGCUCCGCGAGGCCGACCUCGACGGCGACGGGCAGAUCAACUACUCCGAGUUCGCCAGGGUCAUGAUGGCCAAGAUGGACACGACGGGAUCAAAACCAUCGGCGCCGCCGCUCUUCAAGAAUGGACUCCGGGUCUGCCGCUACCUUCUGGCCUUCCGGAUCAUGGAGAUCGGCCGGAGUAUUAAACGAGGACGGCGGAAGUCACAGCAAAACAGUCGUGAGAUGGUACCAGAGAAGAGCGGCGGCGAUGCCGAUCCCCCGCCGGACCAAGGAAACAAGGACAAGGACAAACGAGGAAGCUGCAUCCCCUCAUGUAUCAUCCUCUGA